CCUACGGUGGCAGCAGUCGAGAAUCAUUCACAAUGGGGGAAACCCUGAUGGUGCGACGCCGCGUGGGGGAAUGAAGGUCCUCGGAUUGUAAACCCCUGUCAUGUGGGAGCCAAUUAAAAAGAUAGUACCACAAGAGGAAGAGACGGCUAACUUUGUACCAGCAGCCGCGGUAAUACAGAGGUCUCAAGCGUUGUUCGGAAUCACUGGGCGUAAAGCGUUCGUAGGCGGUUUCGUAAGUCGUGUGUGAAAGGCGCGGGCUCAACCCGCGGACGGCACAUGAUACUGCGAGACUAGAGUAAUGGAGGGGGAAGCGGAAUGCGCGGUGUAGCAGUGAAAUGCGUAGAUAUCGAGAGGAACACUCGUGGCGAAGGCGGGUUCCUGGACAUAAACUGACGCUGAGGCACGAAGGCCAGGGUAGCGAAAGGGAUUAGAUACCCCAGUAGUC
rnacentral:rRNA from 1 species